AAAACAGUUCUUCUUUUUUAAAUGGUUGAAUUACAUGUGUUAAUUAUAUCUCAAUAAAGCUGUUCUAAGAAAAAGUGAUGGCCCACGUUAAAUCAAGUAGAGAUGCCAGAACUGCCAUGGCAGACUGAAGAGAAAGAAAAGGCUCAGAGAAGUGGGCAUGCUAGUAUGAAUCUACUCUACGAAACUGGAAAACCACCAGGUGACUGUUUUCCUUGGAAGGGCCCAAAGGAUGCUCUGUAUAUCAGGCGAUGAGGAAUGAGCAGGGCUAUGUGACUUCUCCUGCUCCCUAUCGUAAUGUA